rnacentral:rRNA from 1 species
AGGACGAACGCUGGCGGCGUGCUUAACACAUGCAAGUCGAGGGCGGUAGCAAUACCGACCGGCGAACGGGUGCGUAACACGUGAGCAACCUGCCAAGGUGAGGGGGAUAGCCGGCCCAACGGCCGGGUAAUACCGCAUACGCUCUAUCCACGGCAUUGUGGACUGAGGAAACCUCCGGGGCACUUUGAGGGGCCCGCGGCCUAUCAGCUAGUUGGCGGGGUAAUGGCCCACCAAGGCAUCGACGGGUAGC